rnacentral:lncRNA from 1 species
UCCAGGUUAUUCUUGUCCAUGGUCUUGUUUGAUGCCCAGUACCUGUGUGCCCCCAAGAGCCUUCAGCAUGUAACCAAGAGCUAUUCGUGUCGUGGGAUAUCUCCAAGGGAGCGGAGGCUGGAAAGUUACCAGGGUAGCACAGCGGUUGCAUUUCUGUUCCGUGGGAAUUGAUUAUCUGAGUGCAUACUCAGAUGUUCCUUGCCACAUCGGUUAUUCACUCAUCACAUGUUAUUUUUAUGUUUAAAACUACAUAACUUAUUUAUUAACUAUGCUUUGUCCUAGCUUUUUGCUCUGUCAAUUCUGAAGCAUGUUGUCUUAUUCGGUCAAGAAAAGGUGAUCGGGUGUAAGAAGGACACGUUCUUUGUAAUUUUCACAGGUAAUUGAUUUCAUUCGAUUUUUUUGUCUUGGACACAAGCGAAGUUUUUCUCUAACUAGCUGCAAUGCAUGCGAAAAUGUAUGUGGUUGCUAAAUUUGCAAUUCCUGGCCUAUACUAUCAAGUAUGCAAGACUUCUAAUUAGCUGACAAGAACUUGGAUCACUUACCCGGAUCUCCUACAUCCCUCUUUUAUUUGUAAGUUUUGAUACUUGAGAAAAUCUGCUGUUUUGCAUGCAACAGUCCAAAUCAUGAAGAAUAUAGUAAUUGGGUGGGCAAAGAAGAACGGAG